rnacentral:rRNA from 1 species
CCUACGGGUGGCAGCAGUGAGGAAUAUUGGUCAAUGGACGAGAGUCUGAACCAGCCAAGCAGCGUGAAGGAUGACUGUCCUAUGGUUUGUAAACUUCUUUUAUAUGGGAGUAAAAUGUUCCACGUGUGGGAUUUUGUAUGUACCAUAUGAAUAAGGAUCGGCUAACUCCGUGCCAGCAGCCGCGGUAAUACGGAGGAUCCGAGCGUUAUCCGGAUUUAUUGGGGUUAAAGGGAGCGUAGGUGGAUUGUUAAGUUAGUUGUGAAAGUUUGCGGCUCAACCGUAAAAUUGCAGUUGAAACUGGCAGUCUUGAGUACAGUAGAGGUGGGCGGAAUUCGUGGUGUAGCGGUGAAAUGCUUAGAUAUCACGAAGAACUCCGAUUGCGAAGGCAGCUCACUGGACUGCAACUGACACUGAGGCUCGAAAGUGUGGGUAGCAAACAGGAUUAGAUACCCUUGUAGUC